GAUGAACGCUGGCGGCGUGCCUAAUACAUGCAAGUCGAGCGAACGGACGAGAAGCUUGCUUUUCUGAUGUUAGCGGCGGACGGGUGAGUAACACGUGGAUAACCUACCUAUAAGACUGGGAUAACUUCGGGAAACCGGAGCUAAUACCGGAUAAUAUUUUGAACCGCAUGGUUCAAAAGUGAAAGACGGUCUUGCUGUCACUUAUAGAUGGAUCCGCGCUGCAUUAGCUAGUUGGUAAGGUAACGGCUUACCAAGGCAACGAUGCAUAGCCGACCUGAGAGGGUGAUAGGCCACACUGGAACUGAGACACGGUCCAGACUCCUACGGGAGGCAGCAGUAGGGAAUCUUCCGCAAUGGUCGAAAGCCUGACGGAGCAACGCAGCGUGAGUGAUGAAGGUCUUCGGAUCGUAAAACUCUGUUAUUAGGGAAGAACAUAUGUGUAAGUAACUGUGCACAUCUUGACGGUACCUAAUCAGAAAGCCACGGCUAACUACGUG
rnacentral:rRNA from 1 species